rnacentral:rRNA from 1 species
GAUGAACGCUGGCGGCGUGCCUAAUACAUGCAAGUCGAGCGGACAGACGAGGCGCUUGCUCCUCUGACGUUCGCGGCGGACGGGUGCGUGACUCGUGGAUAACCUACCUAUGGGACUGGGAUCACUUGGGGAACCCGUAGCUAAUACCGGAUAAUAUAUUGAACCGCUUGGUUCAAUAGUGAAAGACGGUUUUACUGUCACUUAUAGAUGGAUCCGCGCCGCAUUAGCUAGUUGGUAAGGUAACGGCUUACCAAGGCAGAGAUGCGUAGCCGACCUGGGAACGAGAUUGGCCAGGUCGGAGCGGAGACACGGUCCCGAUUGCAACGGGAGGCAGCAGUGGGGAAUCCGCGGCAAUGGGCGAGAGAAUGACGGAGCAACGACGAGUGUGUGAUGAAGGUCCGCGGAUCGUAAGACGCUGGUAUUAGGGAAGAACAGCUCUGUAGGUAGCUAUGCACGUCUUGAAGGUACCUAGUCAGAAAGCCACGGCUAACUACGUG